rnacentral:rRNA from 1 species
UACAGAGGGUGCAAGCGUUGUUCGGAAUUAUUGGGCGUAAAGGGCGCGUAGGCGGUGCGGUAAGUCUGUAGUGAAAUCUCUGGGCUCAACUCAGAGUCUGCUGCAGAAACUGCCGUGCUUGAGUGUGGGAGAGGUGAGUGGAAUUCCCGGUGUAGCGGUGAAGUGCGUAGAUAUCGGGAGGAACACCUGUGGCGAAAGCGGCUCACUGGACCACAACUGACGCUGAGGCGCGAAAGCUAGGGGAGCAAACAGG